GGUUUGAUCAUGGCUCAGAUUGAACGCUGGCGGGAUGCUUUACACAUGCAAGUCGAACGGCAGCACGGACUUCGGUCUGGUGGCGAGUGGCGAACGGGUGAGUAAUGUAUCGGAACGUGCCCUAGUAGCGAGGAUAACUACGCGAAAGCGUAGCUAAUACCGCAUACGCCCUUCCGGGGGAAAGCGGGGGACCUUCGGGCCUCGCACUAAUAGAGCGGCCGAUAUCGGAUUAGCUAGUUGGUGGGGUAACGGCUCACCAAGGCGACGAUCAGUAGCUGGUUUGAAGGACGACCAGCUGCGGAUCGUCGCUGCUGGUAUUACACUACCAACUAGCUAAUCCGGUAUCGGCAUCUCUAUGCGGGCCAGAAAAUCCCCGCUUUUCCCACCAUGCGGUGUGCUACGCUUUCGCGUAGUUAUCCCACUAGAGCACGUUCCAUUUCAUUACUCACCCGUUCGCCAUAAACGCCGAGACUUCCCAGAGUCCAUUAAGCGCCGUUCGACUGCGUAAUGUAAAGAGCAUCCCGCCAGCGAUGUCUGAAUAUGAUCAA
rnacentral:misc_RNA from 1 species